rnacentral:lncRNA from 10 species
CAUUUGAACUUGGCUUCCCCAACUUUUUCUUGCCCUUUUCUCUUUUUGAUAAAUAACCAUCUUGCUGUACAUCAAAUUCUUGAAGCGUUCCUGCUUUCCAAGCUUGUUCGUUUCACUUUCCUUGUAGAUUCUAUUUCUCCAUCUCCUGCACAUCCAUUAACGUCUCUGGGCUCUGGAAUCUAGCCUCUGUUCAUCCACGUUGCUCCUCAGGAAAGAAAAACAGUAUUAGUUUAACACUCCAGAGUAUCUAGAACUAAGUUAUGCUUUGAGGAGGUCUGAGCAGUUGAUGAGCAGUUCAGGCUGUGAAGGAGCUUGCAGGUGUUCCCAGGGCCGCUUGGGCAGUGCCUCCCACACUGCCCAUGGGAGUCUGUAGAGCACCAGAGGACAAUGAGGGAGUCCUGAAAGGCCCCACUCCCCGCCGGCCCAGUGCAAACAUUUCAACCAGCACGACAGCAACCCAGCCGUAAGGAGGCCAGUCAGCUCCUCCUCAGAUUUGCUACAUCUGUGAGCUAACGACUGGGUCCCUAAGAGAUCUGAAAAACACAUGCAUGGAUGAUGCCUCUUUUACUUCCUGCAAUGUCCUUUAGAACAGGCUUGCAGAAAGUAAUCAUUCAAUAGGUAUUUAUUGGUGGACCAAAGGAAGAAAGAGAAAAAAUAAGAGAGAUAAACUGAACAUCGAUGGAAGCAGAGGCUGGAGGUGAAGAGGAAUCAUAUUCAGAAUAAAUAAUAUCUUCUAUCCUUUACAACCCUGAAGUGCUGAGAUGCAAUCAUUCCAGCUCUAUUAUUUCCGAAAGCAAAUCGAUCAGAUUUCUUUUGUUUCCGCUGUGUGGCCCCCAGAUCAGUAGAAAGCACCACUGUCUGUGGCCGCAAGUCAUCCUUUGAACAGCACCACACUCAGAUAGGCUCUUGUAUCACGAAUCCUGUCUCCAGAAGGUACACGAGUUCUUCUGCUGUCCCCUUGAAGCCGUGGUGUCUACAUGCCCUCGGUCCUCCAUAAGAGAUAACUGCUCUUGGUUUUGCAAUACUCAAAGAAAGCGUGAAGCCUCUGCAGGGGUCUCUCCUUCUCUGGGUGAUGAUAGAGGCUGCAGUCCCAGCUACCAGAUGUGCUGGCAUUGGCAGCAGCUGCAGAAAUGGAGUUUCUGUGAUGUGGCUCACAGCAUCAUUGGAAGAAGCUUAGCCGCUGUCCUCUUAAGGCAGCCCUAGUGAUGAUCUCUUGAGCUACCUAAUUUUCUUUAAUAAAGUUUU